CGCUUUAAGAUGAGCCCGCGGCCUAUCAGCUUGUUGGUAAGGUAAAAGCUUACCAAGGCGUACGGGUAGCUGGCCUGAGAGGGUGGUCAGCCACACUGGGACUGAGACACGGCCCAGACACCUACGGGUGGCAGCAGUCGAGAAUCUUUCGCAAUGGGGGAAACCCUGACGGAGCGACGCCGCGUGGAGGAUGAAGGUCUUCGGAUUGUAAACUUCUGUCACCUGGGACGAAUGGUACACUUGUGAAUAAUGAGUGUAUUUGACGGUACCAGGAGAGGAAGCCACGGCUAACUCUGUGCCAGCAGCCGCGGUAAUACAGAGGUGGCAAGCGUUGUUCGGAUUUACUGGGCGUAAAGGGCAAGUAGGCGGCUAAGCAAGUCUGAUGUGAAAUCCCACAGCUCAACUGUGGAACUGCAUUGGAAACUGCCCGGCUAGAGUUGAGUAGGGGAAAGUGGAAUUCUCGGUGUAGCGGUGAAAUGCGUAGAUAUCGAGAGGAACACCAGCGGCGAAAGCGACUUUCUGGACUCAUACUGACGCUGAAUUGCGAAAGCUGGGGGAGCAAACAGGAUUAGAUACCCUGGUAGUCCCAGCCGUAAACGAUGUUCACUAGAUGUUAGGAGAUUUGACCUCUUAGUGUCGUAGCUACGCGUAGUGAACCGCUGGGGAGUACGGUCGCAGAUAAACUCAAGAUUGACG
rnacentral:rRNA from 1 species